GAACGCUGGCGGCAGGCCUAACACAUGCAAGUCGAGCGGCAGCACGGCAAUAGCAAUAUUGUGGGUGGCGAGCGGCGGACGGGUGAGGAAUGCAUCGGGAUCUACCCUGUCGUGGGGGACAACGUAGGGAAACUUACGCUAAUACCGCAUGAUCUGGAGACAGCAAAGCCGGGGACCUUCGGGCCUGGCGCGAUGGGAUGAGCCGAUGUCCGAUUAGCUAGUUGGCGGGGUAAAGGCCCACCAAGGCGACGAUCGGUAGCUGGUCUGAGAGGACGACCAGCCACACUGGAACUGAGACACGGUCCAGACUCCUACGGGAGGCAGCAGUGGGGAAUAUUGGACAAUGGGGGGCAACCCUGAUCCAGCCAUGCCGCGUGGGUGAAGAAGGCCUUCGGGUUGUAAAGCCCUUUUGUGCGGGAAGAAAAGUCGUCGGUGAACAUCCGGCGAUGCUGACGGUACCGUAAGAAUAAGCACCGGCUAACUACGUG
rnacentral:rRNA from 1 species